UUUCUUGAAAACUUUUUUUGUAGUGUAGUCGAUAACGCAAAUUUUGUUAAGGAACGUUUACCGAGCGAGUUCUAGCAAACGAGUGAUUGCAGGUUGUUGGGGACAUCGAAGAAAUAGUUUUCUGAAGAAGAGACAAAAAAUUCCACCUCAAGCUUCC